GAUGAACGCUAGCUACAGGCUUAACACAUGCAAGUCGAGGGGUAACGAGAGGAAAGCUUGCUUUCCUUGUCGACGACCGGCGCACGGGUGAGUAACGCGUAUCCAACCUGCCCCCAACUAGGGAAUAACCUUGCGAAAGUAAGACUAAUACCCUAUAAUUUCCUCAGAUGACAUCUGACGAGGAAUAAAGAUUUAUCGGUUGUGGAUGGGGAUGCGUCUGAUUAGCUUGUUGGCGGGGUAACGGCCCACCAAGGCAACGAUCAGUAGGGGUUCUGAGAGGAAGGUCCCCCGCAUUGGAGCUGAGACACGGUCCAAAAUCCUACGGGAGGCAGCAGUGAGGAAUAUUGGUCAAUGGGCGGAAGCCUGAACCAGCCAAGUAGCGUGCAGGAUGACGGCCCUAUGGGUUGUAAACUGCUUUUAUACAGGAAUAAAGUUAGCCACGUGUGGUUAUUUGUAGGUACUGUAUGAAUAAGGACCGGCUAAUUCCGUGCCAGCCGCCGCGGUAA
rnacentral:rRNA from 1 species